rnacentral:rRNA from 1 species
CGAACGGGUGAGUAACGCGUGAGGAACCUGCCUCAAAGAGGGGGACAACAGUUGGAAACGACUGCUAAUACCGCAUAAGCCCACGGCUCGGCAUCGAGCAGAGGGAAAAGGAGUGAUCCGCUUUGAGAUGGCCUCGCGUCCGAUUAGCUAGUUGGUGAGGUAACGGCCCACCAAGGCGACGAUCGGUAGCCGGACUGAGAGGGUGACCGGCCACAUUGGGACUGAGACACGGCCCAA